GGGUCUGUAGCUCAGUGGGAGAGCGCUUCCUUGACGCGGAAGAAGUCGCAGGUUCAAUCCCUGCCAGACCCA
rnacentral:tRNA from 1 species